GUAGGGUAAUGACCUAUGAAUUGACAGCCAGUGACUGGCAUUGGCCUGCCUGUCAGUUCUGUAGGCCACUGUCCUGC
rnacentral:pre_miRNA from 1 species